AAUGUACAUUUAUAAAAUGGGGUAGAGUGAGACAGCUUAAGAGAAUCGUGAAUGUAGGUGCCAUUUCUAUUUUAAACAACUCUCAGAAACAUAUAUCAUAAGCAUCAUGCAAAGAGAUGGGAACAUAAGCAAGGACAGGAUAAAUCUAUGACAAAAUAGAUGAAUCAUAAAUUGAUGAACAUCAAAACUGAAAACUAAGUAAAGACCUAAAAAGAAAAAUAUAUAAAACAA